rnacentral:lncRNA from 1 species
CGUGUGUUUUUAAGCUCUGGAUUUCGGGAUUGACCCUUUCCAGAUCCCGGAAAUUCUUUUUUCGAAUUUCAGAAUGUCAGGAUUUAAUUUAUUUAAAUAUGAGACCUCAGGAUUUCAUGUAUUUAAGCCAGGAAUUUCGGGAUCAGGACGCCUCCUACCACCCCCUUAUAUAUAUGGUCUGUUCCUGUCUGUGUUGGCGUUUCUUUUUGUUGCAGGUUGUUGUCGUCUUCUUAUAGUUUAUGUAUUUCAUUCUGUUUUAGUUUUUAACCAGGGAUUUUUUUUUCUUUGUUGAUUUAAGUCUUUUGAACAGUGGUAUACUGCUGUUGCCUUUAUAUAUUAUAAUAGAUAAAUCUAAAUGCAAUGUAUAUUAAUGAUAUGCUUAUUUAUAGAGGCCAG